rnacentral:rRNA from 1 species
AGGGUUUGAUCAUGGCUCAGAUUGAACGCUGGUGGUAUGCUUAACACAUGCAAGUCGAACGGUAACAUUGGAGCUUGCUCCAGAUGACGAGUGGCGGACGGGUGAGUAACGCGUAGGAAUCUGCCUAGUAGUGGGGGACAACAUGUGGAAACGCAUGCUAAUACCGCAUACGCCCUACGGGGGAAAGCGAGGGAUCUUCGGACCUCGCGCUAUUAGAUGAGCCUGCGUUAGAUUAGCUAGUUGGUGGGGUAAUGGCCUACCAAGGCGACGAUCUAUAGCUGGUCUGAGAGGACGAUCAGCCACACUGGGACUGAGACACGGCCCAGACUCCUACGGGAGGCAGCAGUGGGGAAUAUUGGACAAUGGGCGAAAGCCUGAUCCAGCAAUACCACGUGUGUGAAGAAGGCCUGAGGGUUGUAAAGCACUUUCAAUUGGGAGGAAAACAGCUGGGUUAAUAGCCCUGCUCUUGACAUUACCUUUAGAAGAAGCACCGGCUAACUCCGUGCCAGCAGCCGCGGUAAUACGGAGGGUGCGAGCGUUAAUCGGAAUUACUGGGCGUAAAGCGUACGUAGGCGGUUAUUUAAGUCAGAUGUGAAAGCCCCGGGCUCAACCUGGGAACUGCAUUUGAUACUGGAUAACUAGAGUUUGAUAGAGGAGAGUAGAAUUUCUGGUGUAGCGG